rnacentral:rRNA from 1 species
UACGGGGGGGAGCAAGCGUUGUUCGGAUUUACUGGGCGUAAAGGGCGCGUAGGCGGGCGCAACAAGUCACUUGUGAAAUCUCCGGGCUUAACCCGGAGCGGUCAAGUGAUACUGUCGUGCUAGAGGUGCGGAAGGGGCUACUGGAAUUCCGAGGGUGAUAGCGGUGGAAAUGACGGCAGAGUAUCGGGAAGAACGACCCGUGGCGAAGGCGGUUCUCUGGGACGGUAC